UAAAUACUCCCUCCAUUCGAAAAUAUUUAUCAUAUAAAUGGAUGUAUCUAGAUGUAUCUUAGUUCUAAAUACAUCUAUUUUUUAUACAUUUGUGCCACAAAUAAUUUCGGACGGAGGGAGUAUAAG
rfam:Hordeum vulgare subsp. vulgare, WGS project CAJW01000000 data, contig: morex_contig_77990